rnacentral:rRNA from 1 species
AACGAACGCUGGCGGCAUGCCUAACACAUGCAAGUCGAACGAUUGCCUUCGGGUGAUAGUGGCGCACGGGUGCGUAACGCGUGGGAAUCUGCCCUUAGGUUCGGAAUAACAGCUGGAAACGGCUGCUAAUACCGGAUGAUAUCGCGAGAUCAAAGAUUUAUCGCCUAAGGAUGAGCCCGCGUUGGAUUAGGUAGUUGGUGGGGUAAAGGCCUACCAAGCCGACGAUCCAUAGCUGGUCUGAGAGGAUGAUCAGCCACACUGGGACUGAGACACGGCCCAGACUCCUACGGGAGGCAGCAGUGGGGAAUAUUGGACAAUGGGCGCAAGCCUGAUCCAGCAAUGCCGCGUGAGUGAUGAAGGCCCUAGGGUUGUAAAGCUCUUUUACCCGGGAAGAUAAUGACUGUACCGGGAGAAUAAGCCCCGGCUAACUCCGUG